CCCUUAGAUGUUCUGGGCCGCACGCGCGCUACACUGAUGCAUUCAACGAGUCUAAAACCUGCUCUGAUAGGGGUGGGUAAUCUUUUGAAUGUGCAUCGUGAUUGGGAUAGAUGAUUGCAAUUUUUCAUCUUCAACGAGGAAUGCCUAGUAAACGCAAGUCAUCAGCUUGCAUUGAUUACGUCCCUGCCCUUUGUACACACCGCCCGUCGCUCCUACCGAUUGAAUGGUCCGAUGAAUAUCAUGGAUUGAGGAUGCAAGUAGGUUAGCCUAUCUUCAUCUUCGAGAAGUGAAGUAAAUCUUAUCAUUUAGAGGAAGGAGAAGUCGUAACA
rnacentral:rRNA from 1 species